UCAUGAUGCUUUUUGGAUAAUCAACAUUUCAAAGCAUAAAGAGAAGAUUAGCUCUGAUCAUGCGCAAGAAUGACACAAGCAUAUUGAGAUAAAGCAUCUAUAUUC